ensembl:lncRNA
CAGCAAGUUUCCCCUAUAGAGAGAGACAGGGGCUGUGUUGUGAAGCCCAGAGAUUCCUUGGCUCCUCCAUGCCUGCCCCUUCCUGCAGGAGAAGAUGGAGGAACCAACUUGAUCAGAGAUAAGCACAGAGAACCCGACUGAGCUGGGACACGGGAUACCCACGGACAGACACACACACACACACAUACACGAACGGACACCACAGACAACGGACGGACAGACACACACACAAACGGACACACACAGACGAACGGACGACACACAGACGCACACCACAACGAACGGACGGACACACACAGACGCGCGCACACAUACGGACGGACACACACAAACCAUACACCAGACAUCAAAUAAACUGGUUUUGUGUGGGCUGUGUUUGAGCCAAUGGGUUUGUUUCUCAUAUGCAUCGCUCCACGUUCUCCCGAGGGAAUUCUCCUCAGGACGUUCUCCCGAGUGAAUUCUCUUCAGGACGUCUCCCGAGGGAAUUCUCUUCAGACGUUCUCCCGAGGGAAUCUCUUCAGGACGUUCUCCCGAGGGAAUUCUCCUCAGGACGUUCUCCCGAGUGAAUUCUCCUCAGGACGGUCUCCCGAGUGAAUUCUCCUCAGGACGGUCUCCCGAGUGAAUUCUCCUCAGGACGGUCUCCCGAGUGAAUUCUCCUCAGACGUCUCCCGAGUGAAUUCUCCUCAGGACGUUCUCCCGGUGAAUUCUCCUCAGGACUUCUCCCGAGGGAAUUCUCCUCAGGACGUUCUCCCGAGGGAAUCUCUGCGAGUUCUCCCGAGUGAAUUCUCCUCAGGACGUUCUCCCGAGUGAAUUCUCUUCAGGACGUUCUCCCGAGUGAAUUCUCUUCAGGACGUUCUCCCGAGUGAAUUCUCUUCAGGACGUUCUCCCGAGUGUUCUCUUCAGGACUUUCUCCCGAGUGCUUUCUCUUCAGGACGUUCUCUCUCGAUGGAAUUCUCUCAGGACGUUCUCCCGAGUGAAUUCUCUUCAGGACGUUCUCCCGAGUGCUUUCUCUUCAGGGGGAAGUGAGGGUGAGGUAAUACAGUAGGGGGAGGUGCAGGGUGAGGUAAUACUUCAGGACGUUCUCCCGAGUGCACCUCCCCUACUUCGUAACCUCACCCUGCACCUCCCCCUGCUGUAUUACCUCACCCUGCACCUCCCCCUACUGUAUUACCUCACACUGCACCUCCCCUUUCACUGACCCUUCUUCCAGCCAGGACAAUGACGACAACAGACGAAGAUAUACACAAAGCUAACUUUUACUUCAUAAUUAUCAGCUAGAUAUAUGUGAAUAGUUGUAAUCUAGCUAGCCAGCUAGCUAGUUAAACAGGGGGGAAAAAUGAACAGAAACUAAUGUCAUGCAAGGUACAGUCGAUGUCAAUUCUUUGUGGGUAGCUAGCUAACAUUUUUUUUCUUCCCGUGGCUAGCCAGUUAGCCCUAUUGAUUUACUAUGGACUUAACCCAUUCCUUCUUCUAGCCAGGACAAUGGCAAUAGAGACGAAAAACAAUAUGUACGCGAAGCAAAUGUUAUACUUCAUAUCUAUGAGCUAGCUAUAUGCUUGCUGUUUGGGGUUUUAGGCUGGGUUUCUGUACAGAACUUUGUGACAUCAGCUGAUGUAAGAAUGGCUUUAUAAAUACGUUUAAUUGAUUGCUAUAUGUUUACCGUAAUAAUGUAGCUAACCAGAUAGAAUAACAGGCAAAAAAAAACGCAAUAAACCAAUGUUAUCCAAGGUAGAUAUCAAUUCUUCGUGGGCAGCAAGCUAACAAUUAUUUGUGGCUCUCUGGCUAGCUAACAGUAGUAGUUAGCCAGUUAGCUCUAUUGACUUUACAAUGGGCUUACGACCUACGCACACUACAGUGGGUACUGUAGGAAGGUAACCAUGCCAAAACGGGCUGUAUUUAUUAACGUAGCAAGAUAAAAUAUUGUAGUCAGGCAACGUAUAUGAUUAGCUAACAUUUAAAUUCCCAAGUCGCGUUGUA